CACGUAGGGCGCGAGCGUUGUCCGGAAUUAUUGGGCGUAAAGAGCUCGUAGGCGGCCUGUUGCGUCCGCUGUGAAAUCCCGAGGCUCAACCUCGGGUCUGCAGUCGAUACGAGCAAACUAGAGUGUUGCAGGGGAGACUGGAAUUCCUGGUGUAGCGGUGAAAUGCGCAGAUAUCAGGAGGAACACCGGUGGCGAAGGCGGGUCUCUGGGCAACAACUGACGCUGAGGAGCGAAAGCGUGGGGAGCGAACAGG
rnacentral:rRNA from 1 species